CACACACACACACAAGCUUCCUCACUAGCAGACAGACACAGACACACACACACACCUGAGCAUAUCAAGCCUACCUGUUGCUGGGGAUCAGACAGCCAUCUUCUUGCCUUUCCAGCAGCAGCAUGGUCUGCUGCUUAACGGCGAGGGCAGGGCUUAUCGCUAUAUUGCAUGUAAAAAAACACCAUAUAUAGACUCUAGAGUGUCUACUUUCAUAAAUGGUGGCAUUUAUGGGGUAUUUAAAAAGUCAAACUGCUAUAAAAACCCAAAAUCAGAAAUAGACCUAUAAAAUCAUCUAUCAAAACUCUAGUUGUAAAAAGUGAAAUAGUCAGGUCUCCUAUAAGCCGCUGUAGCUUCACAGGAUAGUUGCAAAUACCUACAUUUGGGUCAUUGUUUUAUUCAGAACGUAGUAGUUGUAAAGAAUUGUGGGUUUUGUACAGCAGUGGCUAACAUUGGGUUAGGAAAUACACAUUUAAAAACAAAAAUAACCUUGUUAUAGAUGUGCAUAUAGAAAAAAUUUUUACAUUUAGCAGAGAUUGGCAGAUAUAUGUAAAAUUGUCCAUGCA